UACGGAGGGGGCUAGCGUUGUUCGGAAUUACUGGGCGUAAAGCGCACGUAGGCGGCGAUCUAAGUCAGAGGUGAAAGCCCGGGGCUCAACCCCGGAACUGCCUUUGAGACUGGAUUGCUAGAAUCACGGAGAGGUGGGUGGAAUUCCGAGUGUAGAGGUGAAAUUCGUAGAUAUUCGGAAGAACACCAGUGGCGAAGGCGGACCACUGGACGUGUAUUGACGCUGAGGUGCGAAAGCGUGGGGAGCAAACAGG
rnacentral:rRNA from 1 species